AUAAGCUAGCUAGCUGGCUAGCUAAAGGUAAUUAGCAGGUGGCUAACAAACAAACAAUUUAAAGCUGAAUGAUUUUAAUAUUAACACAAAAUAAGUUCAAUACACCUUAAAUAUUUUACCCUACUAUGAGCUGUUCCUUAAUUUACAUUAGCACUCCUUCAGGAGCAUAAUACAAUUAAACACAUUAACCAAAGCUAGCACUUAGCUAGCGAUUAGCGCUUAGCUAGCGAUUAGCAUGUAGCUAGCGAUUAGCAUGUAGCUAGCGAUUAGCAGUUAGCUAGCGAUUAGCACGUAGCUAGCGAUUAGCAGUUAGCUAGCGAUUAGCACGUAGCUAAGCGCUAGCUUUGGUUUAUGUGUUUAUGUGUGCUAGCUCUAGCUAGCUAGCUAAAGAGAAUGACAUGAUAUUAAUAUGCUAGCGCUAGCUAAGGAGGAUGACAGGUUAUCAAUAUGCUAUAGGGAGGAUUACAUGGCAUUAAUAAUCUAGCGCUAGCUGGCUAGCUAAAGAUAAUUAGCAGGUGGCUAACAAGCAAACAAUUUAAAGCUGAAUGAUUUUAAUAUUAACACAAAAUAAGUUCAAUACACCUUAAAUAUUUUACCCUACUAUGAGCUGUUCCUUAAUUUACAUUAGCACUCCUUCAGGAGCAUAAUACAAUUAAACACAUUAACCAAAGCUAGCACUUAGCUAGCGAUUAGCGGUUAGCACUUAGCUAGCGAUUAGCGCAGAGCUAGCGGUUAGCACGUAGACAUGGUAUUAACAUAUGGGCCAGAGCAAGGCACAAUCAAAAUUGCUUUAGGAAUUUUCUAGUUAUUGUGCCUUGCAUAAGCAAGCACAAUACUACUCUUCCUCGGGCUUAUUAUAAUUAUUAAACUUAUUAUUAUUCUUCCGUACGUUUUUCGGCGCGCUUCUUCUCCCGGAGCUUUUGUCGCACAUACACAAAAAAGGUAUCAAAACGUGCGGCUCGAUGAGGACAUUAGUGCUAUGACUUUUCUAAGAAUUUCGCCAAACGGUUUGCCGGUAAAUCGCCAAAAACCGGUCCAAAAAAUGAAUGGGUGUGUAUUGCGAGAAUGUUCAACCGCUAGAGUGCGUGACAUCAUCGCUAGAGUGUGGGGAGAGAGAAAAAUUUGUCGAAAAAUAAAUUUGUAAACUGCUGUCAUGGCCACAAAUUUCACUCUACAGAAAUAAUUUAUAGAUAGAAACGUAGGUAAAUUCGUUGGGGUCGCAGUGAUACCACUGCUGAAGCUGUCAGACAAAUAGUUUUGGCGGGAAACGCACUGAUGCGCCAGCAACACCCUCUCACGGCCCCAUCUACUCCCAUGUUAAUUUUAGAGGAGGAAUGUUUAAAGGAGC